rnacentral:rRNA from 1 species
AACGAACGCUGGCGGCAGGCCUAACACAUGCAAGUCGAACGAGUGGCGGACGGGUGAGUAAUGUCUGGGAAACUGCCCGAUGGAGGGGGAUAACUACUGGAAACGGUAGCUAAUACCGCAUAACAUCAGAGGUGCCCAGAUGGGAUUAGCUUGUAGGUGGGGUAACGGCUUACCAAGGCGACGAUCCCUAGCUGGUCUGAGAGGAUGACCACCCACACUGGAACUGUGACACGGUCCAGACUCCUACGGGAGGCAGCAGUGGGGAAUAUUGCACAAUGGGCGCAAGCCUGAUACAGCCAUGCCGCGUGUAUGAAGAAGGCCUUCGGGUUUUAAAGUACUUUCAGCGAGGAGGCGUUACCCGCAGAAGAAGCACCGGCUAACUCCGUGCCAGCAGCCGCGGUAAUAC